GAAAUGCGAUACGUAAUGUGAAUUGCAGAAUUCAGUGAAUCAUCGAAUCUUUGAACGCAUAUUGCGCUCUCUGGUAUUCCGGAGAGCAUGCUUGUUUGAGUAUCAGUAAACACCUCAAACUCCAAGAUUUGUUUCUUUGGGGUUUGGAUUUGAGUAAUCCUAACGAGAAGGCUUUGAUGCCAACUUGGCAGGUCACUUGAAAUGCAGGUGCAGCUGAACAUUCUUCUGAGCUAAAAGCAUAUUUAUUUAGUCCUGUCGACUUUCGAGUUUUAUGGAUUAUUACUUUUUGCUGCAGCUAAUAUAAAGGUUGAAUGAUCAAAUGCUGACUGAUGCAGGAAUUUAUCGGUUUCGUUUGUAAACUGUUAAACUCGAUCUCAAAUCAAGUAAGACUACCCGCUGA
rnacentral:misc_RNA from 1 species